AUGUCACACAAAGCAUACUAACGUCAAAUAUACAGUAAACUUCUAUAAAUUAAUAAUAUCGGGACCAAAAAUUUGUAUU
rnacentral:sRNA from 1 species